rnacentral:lncRNA from 1 species
GUAAAUUUCACCAGAACUGGUAAAUUUCUGCAAGAUGUGUUUUUAAACAAGAAGUGGCCCUAUUCUCCACCAGUAUUGCAGAUAUGUAGUAAAUUUCCAACAGAGUAGGAUGGAUGAGAAACCAGACGUGCUUGCAACUACAUUAUUUUGUUUUUCUAUCAGGCUUGACCAGGAAAAGCAGCCUAGCCCAACUUGGUGGUUGCCUGCAGGGACAGUACAAAAGACAGUUCUAGCGCAGUGGAAGAGACCAAAUAAGAGGACCAAGGGAAAUAUUUGUUGCAGAGAUCUGUAG